AUGUUUCAGGUUAUUUAUUAUACAUUUUUGCAUGUUGACGUUUUUAUUGAUUACUUUCACGGUGUGGGGUUUUGCCAAAUAUUCUGUUCAAAGGUUAAGGUGUCCUGUACCAAGUCAGGAAGAUGGCCAUUGUUAUAAUAUUGUUCGUUUCUGUGUGUGUUGCAUUUUAACGUUGAGUCGUUUGUGUUUUCUCUUAUUUUUGAGAUAAGACGUGGCACGGUACUUGUCUAUCCCAAAUUCAUGUAUUUGGUUUUGAUGUUAUAUUUGUUAUUCUCGUGGUGUUUUGUCUGUUGCUUGGUCCGUUUCUUGUGUGUUGCGUUCGUGUUGUGUCGUUGUUCUCCUCUUAUAUUUAAUGCGUUUCCCUCGGUUUUAGUUUGUUACCCGAUUUUGUUUUUUUGUCAUGGAUUUAUGAGUUUUGAACAGCGGUAUACUACUGUUGCCUUUAUUUAUAGUUGCUUCCAUCUUUGUCAUUUGCUAUAUAGUUUCCUAAUUGGUAAUCAUAUCACAUAUUCUCAUUCAUAUUAAGUCGGAUUUGAAUAUUAAAUCACUAGAGUUACCCUCUGCCUUUUUUUGGCUAUUAGAAAACAUCAUGAAUGUGCAGUUCGAUCAAGUUUUAGCUCAACCGUGAAGAUACAUGUACAUUGAAUUUCAGUAAUGUAUGAAUUGGAUAAACCAUAAUCCAUAAUAUAAUUCAGCGUUUGACGGUCUAGA
rnacentral:lncRNA from 1 species